CCGCCCAGAGCGGCGGGCGCGGGGCGUUCGGCGGGGCCGGCUGCGGCCGGGGGGGGCGCGGCGGGGGGUGCGGGCCGGGCCGGGCCGGGCCAUUGGCCCUUAACGCGCGUCGUGCGGGGGCGGGCGGCGCUGGGCCGGGCGAUGCGAGGCCGCGGGGGUCGCAGCCCCGGGCGGGGUGGCGCUGGGGCCCGCGGGGCGGCCCGUCGCUGUCCCCGGGGACCGCAGGCGCCGCGCUGCCGUGUCACCCGGGGGCGCGGCAAAAGGCACCGCGCGGGGCAAAGGUUUUUAGAAACCAAUGGUUUUGCCACGUCUCUGAAAUUGUGGAUGAAGCCAAACAAAGGAAACUGA
rnacentral:lncRNA from 1 species